UGCUAUUGUCUAUCCCUAGCAGUGGCGCCAAAAUGUGAUUGUCGUUUUACUUAUUCUUCAAUUUCUUUCAAAAUAAACUUGUAUAGGGGAAUUCAAAUACAGGGAAAGACUAAGUGUAUGAGUUUUACUUGUUAGGGUCAUACAAUUAACUAUAUUCCAAACCACUAAAACACCAAGAAACAUUACAAUGUUUUCUCCCAAUAACAAUACUCCUUCAUCAAUUGAUAACAGCAGUGUGCAAUCCUACAUUCUCAAAAGACCGCUCAAAAUACAUAAUUUCCAUCCAAUACUAGGAAUAAGAGACUUCACUCCAAUCAAUCUAAAUUCACAUAAUUUCUGUAAUCACCAACUUCCUUUGUUCAAACACAUAUAGCUCUCAAUAAAUAACAAUCAUAAUCUUCAAAUAAUUCUUCAUAUAAUUCAAUCACUCAGUACUCCAAUUACAUAAUCGAUAACUCAUAAAUCAAUCUCUGAUUUAUUCCACAAACUUACUUUUCAGUAUUUAAAAACUAUCCAUUACUCUUCAACAACAAAGAAAAACAAAAAGGUAGCA
rnacentral:lncRNA from 1 species